rnacentral:rRNA from 1 species
UACAGAGGGGGCAAGCGUUAUUCGGAAUUAUUGGGCGUAAAGGGCGCGUAGGCGGCUUGGCAAGUGGAUGGUGAAAUCCCUCGGCUUAACCGAGGAACUGCCAUCCGGACUGCUUCGCUUGAGACCGGGAGAGGUGAGUGGAAUUCCCAGUGUAGCGGUGAAAUGCGUAGAUAUUGGGAGGAACACCAGUGGCGAAGGCGGCUCACUGGACCGGUACUGACGCUGAGGCGCGAAAGCGUGGGGAGCAAACGGG